GUAGGGGUGGGUGAAUUGGUUAAACCACCAGUCUGUAAAACUGGCGCACGAUGUUGCUUGUAGGUUUGAGUCCUACCCCCUACACCA
rnacentral:tRNA from 1 species